UGAGCAAUCUGCCCUUCUCAUCAGAAUAAGCGUUGGAAACGACGUCUAAUGCCGAAUACGACCUCCUUUCGCAUGAUCGGAGGUGGAAAGCUCCGGCGGUGAGGGAUGGGCUCGCGGCCUAUCAGCUAGUUGGGUGGGGUGACGGCCCACCAAGGCGACGACGGGUAGCCGGCCUGAGAGGGUGACCGGCCACACUGGGACUGAGACACGGCCCAGACUCCGUACGGGGAGGNAGCG
rnacentral:rRNA from 1 species